AACGAACGCUGGCGGCAUGCCUAACACAUGCAAGUCGAACGAAGGCUUCGGCCUUAGUGGCGCACGGGUGCGUAACGCGUGGGAAUCUGCCCUUUGGUUCGGAAUAACAGCUGGAAACGGCUGCCAAUACCGGAUGAUGACGAAAGUCCAAAGAUUUAUCGCCAGAGGAUGAGCCCGCGUUGGAUUAGGUAGUUGGUGGGGUAAAGGCCUACCAAGCCGACGAUCCAUAGCUGGUCUGAGAGGAUGAUCAGCCACACUGGGACUGAGACACGGCCCAGACUCCUACGGGAGGCAGCAGUGGGGAAUAUUGGACAAUGGGCGCAAGCCUGAUCCAGCAAUGCCGCGUGAGUGAUGAAGGCCCUAGGGUUGUAAAGCUCUUUUACCCGGGAAGAUAAUGACUGUACCGGGAGAAUAAGCCCCGGCUAACUCCGUG
rnacentral:rRNA from 1 species